GACGAACGCUGGCGGCGUGCCUAAUACAUGCAAGUCGAGCGGACUUUCAAGAAGCUUGCUUUUUGAAAGUUAGCGGCGGACGGGUGAGUAAAACGUGGGCAACCUGCCUGCAAGACGGGGAUAACUCCGGGAAACCGGGGCUAAUACCGGAUAAUAUCUUCCUUCGCAUGAAGGAAGGUUGAAAGGCGGAGCAAGCUGCCGCUUGCAGAUGGGCCCGCGGCGCAUUAGCUAGUUGGUGAGGUAACGGCUCACCAAGGCGACGAUGCGUAGCCGACCUGAGAGGGUGAUCGGCCACACUGGGACUGAGACACGGCCCAGACUCCUACGGGAGGCAGCAGUAGGGAAUCUUCCGCAAUGGACGAAAGUCUGACGGAGCAACGCCGCGUGAGCGAAGAAGGUCUUCGGAUCGUAAAGCUCUGUUGUCAGGGAAGAACAAGUACCGUUCGAACAGGGCGGUACCUUGACGGUACCUGACCAGAAAGCCACGGCUAACUACGUG
rnacentral:rRNA from 1 species